GGAGGAAAAGAAACCAACAGGGAUUGCCUUAGUAGCGGCGAGUGAAGCGGCAAAAGCUCAAAUUUGAAAUCUGGCUCUUUCAGAGUCCGAGUUGUAAUUUGAAGAAGGUAUCUUUGGGUCUGGCUCUCGUCUAUGUUUCUUGGAACAGAACGUCACAGAGGGUGAGAAUCCCGUGCGAUGAGAUGAUCCAGGCCUAUGUAAAGUUCCUUCGAAGAGUCGAGUUGUUUGGGAAUGCAGCUCUAAGUGGGUGGUAAAUUCCAUCUAAAGCUAAAUAUUGGCGAGAGACCGAUAGCGAACAAGUACAGUGAUGGAAAGAUGAAAAGAACUUUGAAAAGAGAGUGAAAAAGUACGUGAAAUUGUUGAAAGGGAAGGGCUUGAGAUCAGACUUGGUAUUUUGUAUGUUACUUCUUCGGGGGUGGCCUCUACAGUUUAUCGGGCCAGCAUCAGUUUGGGCGGUAGGAGAAUUGCGUUGGAAUGUGGCACGGCUUCGGUUGUGUGUUAUAGCCUUCGUCGAUACUGCCAGCCUAGACUGAGGACUGC
rnacentral:rRNA from 1 species